rnacentral:rRNA from 1 species
GAUCCUGGCUCAGGAUGAACGCUGGCGGCGUGCUUAACACAUGCAAGUCGAACGAUGAAGCCCGUGCUUGCACGGGUGGAUUAGUGGCGAACGGGUGAGUAUCACGUGAGUAACCUGCCCUUAACUCUGGGAUAAGCCUGGGAAACUGGGUCUAAUACCGGAUACGACCAGUCACCGCAUGGUGUGCUGGUGGAAAGCUUUUGCGGUUUUGGAUGGACUCGCGGCCUAUCAGCUAGACGG